UACGUAGGGGGCAAGCGUUAUCCGGAUUUACUGGGUGUAAAGGGGGCGCAGACGGCAGCGCAAGCCAGGAGUGAAAGCCCGGGGCCCAACCCCGGGACUGCUCUUGGAACUGCGCGGCUGGAGUGCAGGAGGGGCAGGCGGAAUUCCUGGUGUAGCGGUGAAAUGCGUAGAUAUCAGGGGGAACACCGGUGGCGAAGGCGGCCUGCUGGACUGCGACUGACGUUGAGGCCCGAAAGCGUGGGGAGCAAACAGG
rnacentral:rRNA from 1 species